AUGUGGUUUAAUUCGACGCAACGCGCAGACCUUACCUGGGCUUGACAUCCCGAUCGCAUCCCAUGGAAACAUGGGAGUCAGUUCGGCUGGAUCGGUGACAGGUGCUGCAUGGCUGUCGUCAGCUCGUGUCGUGAGAUGUUGGGUUAAGUCCCGCAACGAGCGCAACCCUUGUCCUUAGUUGCCAGCAUUAAGUUGGGCACUCUAAGGAGACUGCCGGUGUUAAACCGGAGGAAGGUGGGGAUGACGUCAAGUCCUCAUGGCCCUUAUAGGUGGGGCUACACACGUCAUACAAUGGAUGGUACAAAGGGUCGCCAACCCGCGAGGGGGAGCCAAUCCCAUAAAGCCAUUCGUAGUCCGGAUCGCAGUCUGCAACUCGACUGCGUGAAGUCGGAAUCGCUAGUAAUCGUGGAUCAGAAUGUCACGGUGAAUACGUUCCCGGGUCUU
rnacentral:rRNA from 1 species